rnacentral:rRNA from 1 species
AAAACAGUUAUAGUUUAUUUGAUAGUCGAUAUAUACUACAUGGAUAACCGUGGUAAUUCUAUGGCUAAUACAUGCGCAAAUACUGUAUAGUGACAUUAUUAAUGUGAUUAUACAGUAGUGUUUAUUAGAUACAGAACCAACAAUACGCCAUCACUUUUUAGUGGUGGUGUAGAAAGAAAAAGGUGAUUCAUAGUAACCGAACGGAUCGCAUAAUAUUAUAAUCAUUUCGGUGAUUGGCGAUAGAUCAUUCAAGUUUCUGACCUAUCAGCUUUCGACGGUAGUGUAUUGGACUACCGUGGCAGUGACGGGUAACGGGGAAUUAGGGUUCGAUUCCGGAGAGGGAGCCUGAGAAACGGCUACCACAUCUAAGGAAGGCAGCAGGCGCGCAAAUUACCCAAUCCUGACUCAGGGAGGUAGUGACAAGAAAUAACAACACUGGAAAUUGUAUUUCUAGUGAUUGGAAUGAUGGGAAUCCAAACCCCUUUCAGAGUAACAAUUGGAGGGCAAGUCUGGUGCCAGCAGCCGCGGUAAUUCCAGCUCCAAUAGCGUAUAUUAAAGUUGUUGCAGUUAAAAAGCUCGUAGUUGGAUAUCUGCUGGAAGCAAUCAGUCCGCCCUUUUUGUAAGGGUGUGCACUUGAUGAAUUCUGGCAUGAUUUCAUCCUAAUAAUAUAAUGUGUGUGAUUAUAUUAGGUUAUAAGUCCUAAUAUGGUUGCAUCAUAUUUUUGUUGGGAUGACAGUUGUUACUUUGAGAAAAUUAGAGUGUUUGAAGCAGGCUUUUGUUGCCUUGAAUACUGCAGCAUGGAAUAACAAUAUAGGAUUUCGGUUCUAUUAUUUUGUUGGUUUUUUCUGUAGGACUGAAAUAAUGAUUAAUAGGGACAGUUGGGGGCAUUCGUAUUUAACUGUCA